CUCUUAUGUUCCUGUAUCAUCUGCCAUGAGAAAGGCAUGUCUCAGAAGGGGGCUUCCCUUUAGGCUUGAGUCCUAGGAAAGGGGAUACAUGGAGAAGACCUGAACUUGACCCACAGCCUGAAGCAGAGAUUCAUCAGCCAGCCUAAUCUGCAAACAUGCAACAAGGGUGAGCAAACGGGUUGAGAAAGGCUAAGUCACUCCACUUAGGUCACAUGGCGAUCAUGGAGCACAAGACAUCACCUGAAAUAACCAGGGAUGAUAGAAUUUGGGAUCACAACUUCAUUCCAAACGUUUGAUACAGGCAAUAAUGGCCCAACAGGCCCACAAUCUUUCCAGGAAUGAUCAGACAACUCCUCAGCUCUUUGCUUCCCCUGCCCCCAUGGUGCAUCCCUGCAUUUCACCUGUCCUGCCUUCCCAGCAGUCAGGAGAUGGCUCCCUGAGGAUGAAUAAGAAAGGGAAUUUCAUCCUCCAUGCAUCGUGCUCAGUGCCAGGAUGGGCAUCCUGAUGAGCCAGGAUCUGGGAGCAAGUGCAAAGGGGAUGAAAUCAUACAAAACUCAGUACUAAAAAAAAAAAAAAAAAAAAAGGAAAAUCAAAUAAAAGCAAAAUAUUUUCUGCCUAUUUUUUCCUUGCAAACUUCUCAAUUCUAUACAAAUAUUUGAUGAUUGUAUUUUCAAAUAAAGAAAUGAAAAUGGAAAUAAUGGAAAUAUGGAAAUAUCCAAAGUGAAAUAUGAAAGCCACUCUUCACAGCUGUCUGUCCAUUGAUUCCCCAUUGAUUCCCCU
rnacentral:lncRNA from 1 species